UUAUAGUUUUGAAUGGAUUUUUUUGUUUUGGCAAGAGCAUGAGAGCUUUUACUGGGCAAGAAGACAAGAGAUGGAGAGUCCAGCCGGGCCUGCGCUUAAGUGCGCGGUCUUGCUAGGCUUGUAAGUUUCUUUCUUGCUAUUCCAAACGGUGAGAGAUUUCUGUGCUUUUGUUAUAGGACAAUUAAAACCGUUUCAAUACAACACACUGUGGAGUUUUCAUAUCUUUGCAACUUUUUCUUUGGGCAUUCGAGCAAUCGGGGCCCAGAGGUAACAAACACAAACAAUUUUAUUUAUUCAUUAAAUUUUUGUCAAAAACAAGAAUUUUCGUAACUGGAAAUUUUAAAAUAUUAAAAACUUUCAACAACGGAUCUCUUGGUUCUCGCAUCGAUGAAGAACGCAGCGAAAUGCGAUACGUAAUGUGAAUUGCAGAAUUCCGUGAAUCAUCGAAUCUUUGAACGCACAUUGCGCCCCUUGGUAUUCCAGGGGGCAUGCCUGUGUGAGCGUCAUUUCCUUCUCACACAUUCUGUUUGGUAGUGAGUGAUACUCUUUGGAGUUAACUUGAAAUUGCUGGCCUUUUCAUUGGAUGUUUUUUUUCCAAAGAGAGGUUUCUCUGCGUGCUUAGAGGUAUAAUGCAAGUACGGUCGUUUUAGGUUUUACCAACUGCGGCUAAUCUUUUUUAUACUGAGCGUAUUGGAACGUUAUCGAUAAGAAGAGAGCGUCUAGGCGAACAAUGUCUUAAAG
rnacentral:rRNA from 1 species